AGAGAUGUGUGAUGACGCAUAUCAAUAAGCGGAGGAAAAGAAACUAACAAGGAUUCCCUUAGUAACGGCGAGUGAAGCGGGAAGAGCUCAAAUUUGAAAUCUUCAAGGUUCUACCUUGACGAAUUGUAGUUUAAAGAAGUGUUUUUCUGUUGGAGUUUUGGUAAAAGUUUUCUUUGGAAUAGGACAUCAUAGAGGGUGAGAAUCCCGUAUUUGGUCAUUCUUUCUAGCUUUGUGAUACACUUUCAACGAGUCGGAUUGUUUUGGGAAUGCAGUCCAAAAUGGGUGGUAAAUUUCAUCUAAAGCUAAAUAUUGGCGAGAGACCGAUAGCGAACAAGUACCGUGAGGGAAAGAUGAAAAGAACUUUGGAAAGAGAGUUAAACAGUACGUGAAAUUGUCAAAAGGGAAGCGUUUGACACCAGUGUUGUUUUUUCCGAAAAUCAAUUACGAAUGUUUUGUUUUUGAGGAGUUAUGACUUCAUCGGCUUGCUCCUUUCUUUAUGGAACUUUCUUAAUGCACUUUUCGGUUAACAAGUCAACAUCAAUUUCUUUUGUUGUAAAAGGGUAUGAGGAAGGUGGCUUUCUUUUCGGAGAAAGUGUUUAUAGCCUUGUACCUCUGCAAUCGGAGAGAUUGAGGUCUGCAGCGUAGAUCCUUCGGGGUUAGAUACAUUUGUGCUAAGUUAUAGCCUUUCAUAGACAACUUGUUGACUAUGUUAAGUCUUGUAGCUUACUCGCUUAUGCUAUUUUACCUACGCUUAGGAUGUUGACGAUCAGCUGAGCGCG
rnacentral:rRNA from 1 species